rnacentral:rRNA from 1 species
UACGUAGGAUGCAAGCGUUGUCCGGAAUUAUUGGGCGUAAAGGGCGCGUAGGCGGCAUGGCAAGUGGAAGGUGUAAUCCCUCGGCUUAACCGAGGAACUGCCCUCCAAACUGCUUUGCUUGAGGCCGGGAGAGGUGAGUGGAAUUCCCAGUGUAGCGGUGAAAUGCGUAGAUAUCGAGAGGAACACCAGUGGCGAAGGCGAGUCCCUGGACAACACCUGACACUGAGGCACGAAAGCCGGGGGAGCAAACAGG